rnacentral:rRNA from 1 species
GGGUCAGUAGGUUGGUCGUGCCACCGGUACGUACUGGUCUCACUGGUUCCUCCUUCCUGAAGAACCGUAAUGCCAUUAAUUUGGUGCUGCGGGGAAACAGGACUGUUACUUUGAAAAAAUUAGAGUGUUUAAAGCAAGCUAACGCUUGAAUACAUUAGCAUGGAAUAAUGAAAUAGGACGAUCGAUCCUAUUUUGUUGGUUUCUAGGAUUGACGUA